AGCAUUCUGAGCUGUUCCAGUGGCACUGAACUCCAGGGCAUAGCCUUAAAAUCAUGUGCAGUUAUUUAAAUCUCAGAGCCUUGACUCGGGGAAUGUUGCGAUGAGAAGGGAAGGAAUGGGUAUCUGUGGCUGAGUCUGGGGCUGCCCUGUACAACUUGCUCAUAAUGCUGCCUCCACAGUCCUGAAGCUUCAUCACAUCUGGAGGCAUCAGAAAGCUCCAGAAGGUCCUAAGGCACGGGGCUUUGAAGGUGUUAUUUGCCUACAAGGCCAUGCCCUCUGUGACUGGGGCCUGUGGCUGUGUUCUCAUGUGAAGAUAUCCUCAUCCAGACAUGCUGUUCCUCCUUAUACAGUCGCUGGUCUUCAGAUGUUCACUUGAGGAUGUCCUCAAGCAUGUGUUUCAACUCAACUCAGUGCUCUCUCUACUUCAGGCAUCCCGAAGAUGGUGGUGGUAUGGCAGAUGUUCUGGGACUGUGGGCUGCAUCAGUUCCAACCAUGCAGUUUUCUCCACACCCCUGCCCUCCUGUUCUAGUCUCCCCCUUGCUAGUCUCUGCACUGAUAAAAGUGCUUAUUGUGUCCAAAAAUGGGAACACGUUCCAGAGCUACAUAGUGAGACCUUGUCUUAAAAAUAAACACGCACUAACCAUCAUGCUCUAGAAAGUAUUUAUUGACACCUGUAUUAAUUUUCUUUCCAUAAUCCAAGAAAUAAUCACAAUACACAAAAUACAGUAAAAUGCACAUUUCCCAUUUCAAAUAAAUAUCUUCUGCUUCUGUAAAAAAUUAAUAUUCUGUGUAAUUUGCCAAACUAUAUUAAUUGGUGAAAUAAAGCAAAAAUUCCCUCUAGUUAAUCUAUCAUUUUAGAUAAUGUUGUUUCUCCAUAAAAUUACAUCGACUUCACUACUGUCGCUUCUAUUUUGCAAAA